UACGUAGGGGGCAAGCGUUGUUCGGAAUUACUGGGCGUAAAGAGCUCGUAGGCGGUCUGUUGCGUCCGCUGUGAAAACUCGGGGCUUAACCCCGAGCCUGCAGUGGAUACGGGCAGACUAGAGGUAGGUAGGGGAGAAUGGAAUUCCCAGUGUAGAGGUGAAAUUCGUAGAUAUUGGGAAGAACACCAGUGGCGAAGGCGGCUCACUGGCCCGUAACUGACGCUGAGGUGCGAAAGCGUGGGGAGCAAACAGG
rnacentral:rRNA from 1 species